rnacentral:lncRNA from 1 species
GCCUCUCCUUUUUCUUAUUUUUAUGCUCAUUUACGUAGAAACAAAGUUGUUUCCUUAGGUUUAUUACGUGUCAUUAGAAAUGUUAAUUGCUAGAAAGAACAACUUAAGUUGCAAGCAUUACUCCUUGCUUUUAUUAUAAUGAUGAGGAGUAACACUAGUUAAGCAACAUAGCUGUAGCUAUUUUCAUUGUCAUUGCCUCGGUUUUGGAAGAGAAAUUGGAAGACUUGGCACGCAAGGAACCAGAGUGUUUGCAUGAAAUUUUGUUGUUGAAAGAGAUGGAUCGAUAUCUCUGCUGAGGGCAAACACCAUUCUCUGGGUUAGAGUUGUGCAAUUCACAGCCACAGUUUUUAUGGUAUGGCCUGCGCUCAACAUUCCUGUCCUUCGUUGAUAUGCUUCCUUCCAUAACCCCCCGAACCAUCAUCAUUUG